UGCCCCCGUUCCUCGCGCCCGUGCGUCCUUCUCCCGGACACCAUGGCGUUGGGGACGAAUCAUGUGUGAACGUAGAGCAGCAGUACACGCUGGAUGCGAGCUCGUGCACUCGCUUGAGGGCGAGUUCGGCCAGUGCAUAUGACCCCAAGGUCCUCGGUGUGAACUGUUCCAGGAAACUACUGUGUGCCGAUUCUUUAUUGAUGCUCAUGAAGCAGCUGCCGGCCAAGCAGGGAUAUUUGUGUUGUGACAGACUGCUCCGGGAAGAAAAAGAGGACGAAGGUAUCGCUGCCAGCAGGAGCUCCUUCUAUUGACGCUGUUAUGGUGGGUUUUGUUAGGUCUGUGCUUAGUGCUCCUCCACCUAGGUUUGCCAACUCUGUCAGCAGUUGAUUAUAAUAUACUAUAUGUUGUGCAAAACUUGAUUAUAAUACUUGCAGCAUCACAGUUUGAGAACAUCCUCGAAAAAACAGUUUGAGAAAUUGGAAUAUACUGAGGAAGGUUACGAAGAGGAGCUUAAGUUUAUUGAGAAGGCUGGAAAUUUUAUUCACUUGCUUGUUGCUUUAUUGUGAAGCAAUCAAGCGUUGCAGCUGACAAGAAAAAAUCCCAGAGGUGGCCGGGUGCAUUGUUCCAACUUCAUAGGCUGUUGGACGACAGCAGCUGCUUGGCGGCGGCAGUGGGUGGAUGACCGUGGUCUCAGCUGAUGGAAUAUGGUGGCCACGAAUCAACCAGCAGUAGGUUCCAUUGCAUGGCAGGUCAAUUGAUGCCAUAGCAUUAUUUGCACAUUUGUGUGUUACACUGUCGGUUACUUUAAAUGUUAACCUCCAUUGUAUUUGACUGCAUGCCGGUAUAUUGGCUCCGUUCCAUGGUGGGUUAUGUCAAAAUGGUAUUUUGUUCCUGUCAUGUCAAUUGGUGAAUGUAUAGGAAUAUACCAAUGUAGAUUGUUUAUUACUUUGUUAUUUUCAGCAACUGAUGUGCA